rnacentral:rRNA from 1 species
AUUGAACGCUGGCGGAAUGCUUUACACAUGCAAGUCGAACGGCAGCACGGGGCAACCUGGUGGCGAGUGGCGAACGGGUGAGUAAUACAUCGGAACGUGCCCAAUCGUGGGGGAUAACGUAGCGAAAGUUACGCUAAUACCGCAUACGAUCUACGGAUGAAAGCGGGGGAUCGCAAGACCUCGCGCGAAUGGAGCGGCCGAUGUCAGAUUAGGUAGUUGGUGGGGUAAAGGCUCACCAAGCCAACGAUCUGUAGCUGGUCUGAGAGGACGACCAGCCACACUGGAACUGAGACACGGUCCAGACUCCUACGGGAGGCAGCAGUGGGGAAUUUGGACAAUGGGCGCAAGCCUGAUCCAGCCAUUCCGCGUGCAGGAUGAAGGCCUUCGGUUGUAAACUGCUUUGUACGGAACGAAACGGUACUGCCCUAAUACGGCGGGCUAAUGACGGUACCGUAAGAAUAAGCACCGGCUAACUACGUGCCAGCCGCCGCGGUAACACCAUA